rnacentral:lncRNA from 1 species
GCGCAGCGCCACCUGGUGGACCUUUCAGGUAGCGCGGCCGCCUGGCCCCUCCGCGCUCAGGCCUCUGGCGAGCGUUUCCAGCGCUCCUGGGCCGGGCCUCCCCCAGGCGGGUGAGGUUCUCAGGCCCCACGUUCAACGUCAGCACCCGGCUGCUCCCGUGCUGAGCGGGACAGGACCCGCACCUGAGACGUCUGAGGCCUUGACGCGGCCUGCCCGCUCCCUUCAAAGCCCUUCGAAACAGAGGAGAGGGCAAAAGUUUGAAAAGCCUCCAUUGUGGGGUCAACACCAGCAGGGGUGUGAGGGCGAGAGGAAGGAGGUCAGGUGUACGAGGCGGGGCGGGGAGCGGGGGCAGGCUGCUCAGGUGGGGUUUCCCUGAGAGACAGCAUUUGGGUAUAAAAUGGGACGCAGUCUCCUCACUCCCUAGCAUCUUCAGUGCUCCAAGCAACCGUGUGACCAGACCCUGUCCUCACGGGCCUCUCCGUUGUGAUAAAGACGUUAAAGACCCAGCUAAGGAUGUGGAAGGCACAUCAGACCUGGUAAAGCCCUUCCACUGUGAGAUUCUAGUCCUCUGCACAAAUGAAGAACGUCUGAUUGCAAUCACCCUGCAACGGUCUAUUUAUUCCUGGACGUCUUCUUCCCUGACUCCAUUUCCAGGCUAGUGAACUCUUGCUUGUGGGUAAAAUAUACCCUCUUGAAAAUGUUAUAUAUAUAUAUA